rnacentral:rRNA from 1 species
AUUGAACGCUGGCGGCAUGCCUUACACAUGCAAGUCGAACGGCAGCGGACCUUCGGGUGCCGGCGAGUGGCGAACGGGUGAGUAAAGUAUCGGAACGUACCUUUCAGUGGGGGAUAACUGUCCGAAAGGACAGCUAAUACCGCAUAUUCUGUGAGCAGGAAAGCAGGGGAUCGCAAGACCUCGCGCUGAUUGAGCGGCCGAUAUCAGAUUAGCUAGUUGGUGAGGUAAAGGCUCACCAAGGCGACGAUCUGUAGCGGGUCUGAGAGGAUGAUCCGCCACACUGGAACUGAGACACGGUCCAGACUCCUACGGGAGGCAGCAGUGGGGAAUUUUGGACAAUGGGGGCAACCCUGAUCCAGCCACGCCGCGUGAGUGAAGAAGGCCUC